CCACCGCCCCGCCUUGUAGUCUUCACCGAAAAGGUCAAAGAGGAAGCUCCCCGUGGACCUCCAACUACCAGCACGAAGACGAUUCUAUUUUCUACCUUGAACUCCCAUGGGGCCCACCUUAUCAUAGUGCAAUGGACGGUCGGUGAUCGGUUUGCAGCCUUAACUGCCACGCGUCGGGCCCUACUGGAUGCCCUCUCGAACGUCCCAAUGACGUUUAUGCUUUUCCAUUAUGACCGCCCCUGCACGAACGUACUAAAAUGCGCGGACGGUGCGAUUGAUUACCAGCGCGCCUUGUGAAUUUCGUUGUCAUCUUCCUAGGCGAAGCAAAACCCUAAUACAUUUCUCCCUCUUUGUAUUUUGGUUUGCGUUUUUGAAGUUUGCAUGAGAAAUUCACAUUUUCAUUGGAAUUUCUGAAAGGCUUGGUUGAAUAAAGUCCACAAAAUCCAAAGGAAUUUGGUUCUUCUUCUUCUUUUUUUCCCCCUUGAAUAAUAGCUGUGCAGAAUGGUUCAGAUCAAGGAAUUUCGAAUAGUCAUGCCUAUGUCGUUAGAAGAGUAUCAAAUAGCUCAAAUGUACAUGGUUCUAAAAAUGCAACAGCAGACUACCACAAGUGAUGAAGGGGUAGAGGUCUUGGAGAACAGAUCUUUUCAAGAUGAUGCAUUGGGAAAGGGACAGUACACAUCAAAAGUUUAUCGUCUUCAAAGGUAAUGUGAUUGUUGCUGGACAUAAUAAAUUUGUGGAGUUUAGUUGUUGUUUACAAAAUUGGCACUG